rnacentral:rRNA from 1 species
GAUGAACGCUGGCGGCGUGCCUAAUACAUGCAAGUCGAGCGGACGGACGAGAAGCUUGCUUCUCUGAUGUUAGCGGCGGACGGGUGAGUAACGCGUGGAUAACCCACCUAUAAGACUGGGAUAACUUCGGGAAACCGGAGCUAAUACCGGAUAAUAUUUUGAACCGCAGGGUUCAAAAGUGAAAGACGGUCUUGCUGUCACUUAUAGAUGGAUCCGCGCUGCAUUAGUUAGUUGGUAAGGUAACGGCUUACCAAGGCAACGAUGCAUAGCCGACCUGAGAGGGUGAUCCGGCACACUGGAACUGAGACACGGUCCUGACUCCGACGGGAGGCCGCAGUAGGGAAUCUUCCGCAAUGGGCGAAAGCCUGACGGAGCAACGCCGCGUGAGUGCUGAAGGUCUUCGGGUCGUAAAACUCUGUUAUUGGGGAAGAACAUAUGUGUAAGUAACUGUGCACAUCUUGACGGUACCUAAUCAGAAAGCCCCGGCUAACUACGUG